rnacentral:rRNA from 1 species
GGGUGCAAGCGUUAUCCGGAUUCACUGGGUUUACAGGGUGCGUAGGAGGGCAGGUAAGUCAGUGGUGAAAUCUCCGAGCUUAACUUGGAAACUGCCGUUGAUACUAUCUGUCUUGAAUAUUGUGGAGGUGAGCGGAAUAUGUCAUGUAGCGGUGAAAUGCUUAGAUAUGACAUAGAACACCAAUUGCGAAGGCAGCUCGCUACACAAAUAUUGACUCUGAGGCACGAAAGCGUGGGGAUCAAACAGG